UAGCUCAGUCAGUAGAGCGUAGUGCUAACAACGCUAAGGUUGCGGGUUCGAUUCCCGU
rfam:Apaloderma vittatum contig56693, whole genome shotgun sequence.